rnacentral:rRNA from 1 species
GAUGAACGCUGGCGGCGUGCCUAAUACAUGCAAGUCGAGCGAACAGAUGAGAAGCUUGCUUCUCUGAUGUUAGCGGCGGACGGGUGAGUAACACGUGGGUAACCUACCUAUAAGACCGGGAUAACUCCGGGAAACCGGGGCUAAUACCGGAUAAUAUUUUGAACCGCAUGGUUCGAUAGUGAAAGACGGUUUCGGCUGUCCCUUAAUGAUGGACCCGCGCCGUAUUAGCUAGUUGGUACGGUAACGGCUUACCAAGGCGACGAUACGUAGCCGACCUGAGAGGGUGAUCGGCCACACUGGAACUGAGACACGGUCCAGACUCCUACGGGAGGCAGCAGUAGGGAAUCUUCCGCAAUGGGCGAAAGCCUGACGGAGCAACGCCGCGUGAGUGAUGAAGGCCUUCGGAUCGUAAAACUCUGUUGUUAGGGAAGAACAAAUUUGUUAGUAACUGAACAAGUCUUGACGGUACCUAACCAGAAAGCCACGGCUAACUACGUGCCAGCAGCCGCAGUAA